rfam:Ciona savignyi cont_32818, whole genome shotgun sequence.
AUUGGGUUGGCCGAGUGGUUAAGGCGUUGGACUUAAGUUCCAAUGGACAAGUGUCCGCGUGGGUUCGAACCCCACACCCAGUA